UGGGGAAUUUUGGACAAUGGGCGCAAGCCUGAUCCAGCAAUGCCGCGUGUGUGAAGAAGGCCUUCGGGUUGUAAAGCACUUUUGUCCGGAAAGAAAACCUCCGCCCUAAUACGGUGGGGGGAUGACGGUACCGGAAGAAUAAGCACCGGCUAACUACGUGCCAGCAGCCGCGGUAAUACGUAGGGUGCAAGCGUUAAUCGGAAUUACUGGGCGUAAAGCGUGCGCAGGCGGUUCGCUAAGACCGAUGUGAAAUCCCCGGGCUUAACCUGGGAACUGCAUUGGUGACUGGCGGGCUAGAGUAUGGCAGAGGGGGGUAGAAUUCCACGUGUAGCAGUGAAAUGCGUAGAGAUGUGGAGGAAUACCGAUGGCGAAGGCAGCCCCCUGGGCCAAUACUGACGCUCAUGCACGAAAGCGUGGGGAGCAAACAGGAUUAGAUACCCCUGUAGUCC
rnacentral:rRNA from 1 species